rnacentral:sRNA from 1 species
AAGACUGUCGCAUCACGAUCGCCACGGAGC